AAAAAAAAAGAUAUUACAUGUCUUGCCCAAGAUCACCUAGCUAGGAAGUUGCAGACCUGGGAUUCAAAUGCAGGCAGUCUGACUCCAGAUCCUCUCUCUUAACUAUGACUUCAUACUCCCUAUUUCAAGACCUCUUUGGAGUCCACAGUCCUUGAGCUCCUUUUUUGGAUAUUAUGUUGAGGUAUCUGGAAUGAUUAGACAGGCAGAGAUAAGAACAUGACCUAGUCAAAGUUGUUUCAGUCUUUUUACUACCUUCUUAAUCUGCCUCCAGGAACCACAGCCUGGAGGUUGUCUUAGUAAGAGUGUACAGAUAACAGAGUCUCUAGGGGCUUUUUUAGAACACUGUGUGGCCCAGCUAAUUUUAAUCACACAGCUAGAUCAGAAAGGGAGCUGAUUUCCUGAAGUCCUAGAAGUCAGUGGAAAUUCCGGUUUUCUGAUUACAGUCCCAGUUGAAUUUCUGCUGUGAUGUACUAAUCGAAGCACUCUGUAUGCAUUAUUUGAUCUUAACAACCGCAUGAGGUAAGCUUUACAGCUCUACGCUAUAGAUGCAGAAACCAGGAUUCUGAGAGGUGAUAAACUGUGGCAUGGAAGUAGAGGAUGAAGCCAGGAGAGGCUUUUUACAUCAAGUAUAAGGGAACAGAUUUCUCCUCUCCAUGCCAAUAGGAACCCCCUCUGAUCUUCUAACUGGUAAAGUACAAAAUCCAAAAACCUCUUAGCCCUCUGUUUUUCAACCUUGAGUGGUAUUUGGAUCCAUUUCUAAAGGGAAAAAAAAUUGUGAAAAUCCUCAGGCAACUUAUUUUUUUAAAGAUUUUUUAUUUAUUUGAGAGAGAGAGGGAGAAUGAGCGGGGGAGAAGAGGGAGAAGCAGGCUCCUCACUGAGCAGGGAGCCAGGCACAAGGCUUGAUCCCAGGACCCUGGGAUCAUGACCUGAGCUGAAGGCAGAUGCUGGAAUGGUGCCCCAGGUGCCCCCAACUUAAAUUAUUUUUAUUACAAUGUUACUUAAACUUGCAAAUAUAAAGUAGGAAUAUAGUGUUCUUUUAUUUAUAGUUCUUACACACUAACAACCCAAAAGAGAUCUACAAAUCAAGUACCCAGGAGCCUGAGUUAUCCCUUGUAUUGACUCAGGUGUUGCCUGGGAGGAAGGCUCAGCUGCUUUUGAGGUGAAUGUGCCUGUGCUGCCAAGUGACCUGUAAUACCUGUUUUCUCACUUGUCUGCUGGAAAUGCUGUGACAGUGCAUUUCCAUGGUGUCAGUUGGCUUUCAUUUUGGGCAUGAAAACACCAUUUUCAUUUUAAAUCUACCUCCGAUCUUUUCUUAUUUUAGAAGGGUAAAAGCAGCAUGGGAACGCACAUGCAAACCUAAGUAUUGAAAUAGGGCAGCAAUGCUGGUUAUAAAGUGGUCAUCCAAAUAGUACAGAAUAUGCUUAUAUAAAUCUAAAAAUUAUUACCAAUAUGAAAACCAAACCGAAGCCCUACAGAAUACAUCCACAGACCUAAUUUGAGAGCUACUGUUCAAGUCCAUUGGUCCCCAAACUUUCACUCCUAUCAAAGGCUCUAUCUACUGUGUUUAUUCUGACGAAUGUGGGUUUUUUUUUUUUUAAAGUCUCCUAAAUUACGUUCAUUAAUAAUUUUAUGUUUUUAUUAAUCAGACCUGCAGUUACCAUUUCGGAGCUUAUGAUCACCAUAUUCACCAUAUGUAGUUUGUCACUCUAAGCUGCUUAUAGUCCAAAACGAACAAAAGAGAGGGGACAUUCUGGUGGUUCUGUGCUGCCUGCAGAAGGGUAAAGGAAAACUUUCCAUCAAGUUUUGUAAGAAACUCCAGCACCCUCACCUCCUCCUACUGGUGCCUCUGAGGACUCUUGGGAGUUCUAGGGAGGCCAGUUUAGCCUUUCUUGUACAAGCAAAGUAGCCACUCCACCCAAUUUGGAAGGAUUAAAGCUUGUCCUAGUUUUGCUUGAUUGUUGUACUUCUAGCAUGCUAAAGACCUAAAAGAGGGAGGAAGAAAAAACAACAGAAGGCACCAUUCCAGUACCAAGCUGAAAAGAAACACAAAAACAAGAGAGCAGCAUGUUUUUAACAGCUUGCAUGGAAAAAGCGGAAAAAAUAUUGACUGGGGAGCUUGGACAGCAGUGUUCCUUUCCUCUCACCGCCCGCGGUAUUUGUCUGACGGAGCAGGGGCCAGAUACAAUUCUGGCUCACAGGCCAGAGGAAGAGGUGGAGGGGUUCUGUGGAAGCUUGAGGCUAGCAGGGGAAAUUAGGGCUGGAGACCCGGUGGCUUAGGGCCAGGAUGAAGUCGGGGGAGGCGCUAAGUCUGUUUUCCUCCUGGCCUGGGGCCUCCUCUGGUGUGCCUGAGUCCUAGGAGCACAGCUCGCAUCACUCAGGUAGGUCCCUGACCCCUUCAGCCCACCAUAAGCAGAAUGAAUUCCUGCCCCCGUUGCUUUCGGCUGUGUAAAGGAUGCGGGGGCUCCGUUCGCUUUCUCAGCCCACCCUUCUUCUGGAGUUUAAACGUACAGCUUCCGCAACGGAGUCCACGCGGGGACCUCCACCACCCCGGCAGGGACUCCGCUCCCCCGCCUCCGCGCAGUGGGAGUGCGGGCCUUAGUUCCGCCGGCCGGGGCGCGGGGCGGGGCCGGGGCG